AUUGAACGCUGGCGGCAUGCUUUACACAUGCAAGUCGAACGAGUGGCGAACGGGUGAGUAAUAUAUGGGGAUCUGCCCGAUAGAGGGGGAUAACUACUGGAAACGGUGGCUAAUACCGCAUACUAUCGGAUGAACCCAUAUGGGAUUAGCUAGUAGGUGGGGUAAAGGCUCACCUAGGCGACGAUCUCUAGCUGGUCUGAGAGGAUGAUCAGCCACACUGGGACUGAGACACGGCCCAGACUCCUACGGGAGGCAGCAGUGGGGAAUAUUGCACAAUGGGCGCAAGCCUGAUGCAGCCAUGCCGCGUGUAUGAAGAAGGCCUUAGGGUUGUAAAGUACUUUCAGCGGGGAGGCGUUACCCGCAGAAGAAGCACCGGCUAACUCCGUGCCAGCCGCCGCGGUAAUUC
rnacentral:rRNA from 1 species